rnacentral:lncRNA from 1 species
GAGUCAAAGAGUACGUUCUCUUUGAGAAGAGCAACUUCUUAGUCUCACUAGAGUUGUCCUUUUGAUUAAAGUUCAUCAUCAUAUGAGAAACUUCCUAUCAUCUUUUGUCUAUAUUUAGGGCUUGAUAUAAUCCAAUUAUAUCCUAAAAUCUAUCAAUAUAGAUUUCCAUCCUAUGUAUAUAGACUAUGUCUCCCAUAUACAUUCUAUCUUCGUAUAAUGUUUUAAAGUCAUAACUUUAACGAAGAAGUAUUCUUUUCAUUUCCAAAAUUAAUAUAUCAUAUAUUUAAAUUUUAGGAACAUGAUUAACUCCCACUAAUCUUUUGUAAACCUAGUUAACAAAAGAUUCAUUUACAUCUUUAUGAGAAAUCAAAUGAUUUGAUCCUUUUCUCAUAAGAUGCUUAUAGCUCCCACUAGCUUGCUAAGAUUCAUGAUGGAUGGAUCUCUACAACUUACAUGUCCUGUGAUUUAUAGUUUUAGACAUAUAUUAUCAAGACUAUCUUAAUAAUGGUGUCGGAAACCCGUAUUAUGUCCAAACAUUGAAUCACCAUUUAGUUGUAGCUAGCAAUCUUCGAAUUAAUUGAAACCAAGACUAUCUCAAAUAUGGUUUCUUCAAAGUCAACCAUUCUCUUUUAUUGUAGUCACCUUAAGCUACUAAUUAGCUAUGAAGGUUUCAUUAUUUCGGGUCAAAUGGUACUUUACCAUUUCCUUGAGUAUAUAUUGUAUAUACACUCAAUGUAGUCAUAAGGAUUUUCAUUCCUAUUUCUUUCGAAUUAAGAGGUGCAACUCUAUGACAUAGUCAUAAAGUUCAAACCAUUCUACUGAGACGGUUUGUAAAUCCUUCUUGACUACCUUGGAGCUUGUGGUAUAGGAACUAGGUUGUUAUAUUUGUUGAUUACUUUCUUGUCUCUCAAAGAACCCAUUCUUUGAGUUCUAUCUCUCGUUCAUUUGCUCUUAGGCAAAUCACAUUGUAGGAUUACAAUGAACUACCCAACAAAACAACAUUUGUUAGUUGGUUUAUAGAAGCGAUAUCCAAAAGUUAAUUUAAGGAUAUCCCACAAGAUUGUUAUCAAACAAAUAUUGCUUAUUAGCACACAACCCCAAAUCUUAACAUGCUUGAGAUUUGUCUUUCUUUCCAACUACAUCUUAUGGAGUCAUGAAAAUCUUGGAAGAUUUUCUAAUUGACAAUCAUAUUGUCUUAGAAGUAUAUAUCCUAUAUAUGGGUAAUAGAUAACAUCUAACGAACUAAAUCUUAUUCGAGUUCGUUCUUCUCCUAAUGGAGAAAUUCAUUAUCUUAUGAUGCUAUUUUC